rnacentral:lncRNA from 1 species
CCCUCCCAUCUGGUGAGAGAAUGUCCAGUGGAGGAACAGCCCAAGGCCGUCUCCCGUAGCAACCAGAUAAAGAGCUCGUCUUCAAAGCGUGGGAAAGGCAAGCCGAAGGCAGCUGGCAGAGACACUGAACGUAAACAUUUGGCUGCCUCUAUGGCUGUAGUCAAAAGUUGUCAACAGGAUGCUGAGCUGGCUUUUGUCAUAGACAGUGGAUCAUCGCAUCAUCUCGUGCCAUCUGGUGGAUUCCUGGAGAACUGCACCUCUGUAAAAUCUGGGAAGACUGUCUGUUUAGCAGAUGGGACUCGACACCCACUCACGCAGAGUGGCUCACUGUUUUGUUCUUUCUUGCAGGACACAAUCCAGGCUUUUGUUGUUCCAGGACUGUCCUGCGCGUUGCUGUCUGUCAGUGCACUUCUUGCUGAGAACUACAGAGUGUGUUUUGAGAACAAUAAGUGUUCUAUUUCCAAGAAUGGACAGCACCUAGUCAGUGUUGAAUGUAAAGACAGGUUGUUUGUGAUAAAUGCUUCUUUUGCAGGUCCAGAUGACACGGAUGACACGGAGGAGGCUCAAGCGCAGUGUGCCAAUGUUCCAGUUCAUGAUGCGUGUCAACAUCUCUGGCACCGACGCAUGUCACACGUGUCGUGGGGGUCGGUGAGAAGGAUCCCAGAGUAUACGCAAGGGUGCAAAAUGAAACCAUGUGCUAAGUUUCUAGAUUGCAGAGCGUGCAAGUCCGCAAAGGUGAAAACGUGCACAUACCCUAGGUCUGAGAGGGUGACCACUAGGGCUUUUCAAUUAAUUCAUGCAGAUUUGUGUGGACCGUUUUCUGUGAGCAGUUUGGGCGGAGCCAAAUAUUCGCUGGUUCUGAUUGAUGACCAUACUAGGAAUUCUUGGUGUUUCACGAUUCGGCGCAAAGAUGAAGCUGCGCCGCUAAUCAAAGACUGGAUUGCGGCUGUGGAACUGCAGUUUUCCACACGGGUGCAAAACUUUCAGAGCGAUCGCGGUGGGAGUUCACCGGGUCUGCACUGCAAAGUUUCUUCCGCAAAAAGGGAUUCAACACAGGUUGACUUCUCCACACAGUCCCCAACAGAAUGGGAUCGCGGAACGCAGGAACAGGACUCUAGGGAGAUGUCCGCAGCUCUUUUGUUUGAUGCCGGGCUCCCACAGCGCUUUUGGGGGAGGCUUGGCGAACGGCCAACUUUGUUCUGAACAGGUCGUUCAAUUCAGUAGUAGGUGACACACCGUAUUUCUUGCUUCGUGGCAAGAAACCGAAAGUGCACUACUUCCGCGUUUUUGGCUGUGAGGCUUGGGUCCUCAUACCAAAGGCCAAACGCAAGAAAGGUGAACCCAGGUCCCAGAAGAUGAUUUUUGUGGGUAUGAGCCAGGGACCAAGGGGUGGAGGUUUGCUUAUCCGUCAGGGAAUCAGUCCAGGAUUCUGCUCAGCAACAGUGCUGAAUUCUGUGAGCAGAGUGGCUGGGCAAGGAUACAUGGGAACCCUGACAUCCUGUCAGAGAGUCUGCUAGACUCUGCUGAUGAAGGAGAGGAAGAGGUUGAACCUGCUACUGAGGCUCAGAGUCCAGGCCCAGUGCAGGCAGAGGGGAGAACUUCUCCCAAGGCUGUGAAGAGUGAGCAACGCAGUGCUCCAUCUUCCCCACAGGUUCGGCUGAGAAGUCCAGAAGGCGCAGUAAGUCAGAGGGGGAGCUCUCUGAUGCCAAGGACGUUCUGGCUGGCCCUAGUGGGUCAGAGGGGGUUCCUGAAGUAGUGCUGCGCCGUUCAACGCGGACGACCAAGGGGAACCUCCUGAAAGGUUUGCCGUCACUAGUGUGUGGGUCGGAAUGGCACAGUGUGAACCCGAGAGUUUUGAGGAUGUUCAGAAACUGCCUCAGGAAGAAGCCAGGAAAUGGCAUGAGGCGAUGCAGAAGGAGAUGAACUCAAUGGAGUCUCUAGGUGUGUUCUCCUCACGAAGUUGCCGGUGGGUGAAAAGGCAGUGGGUAGCCGCUGGGUUUACCGUCUUAAGCCCACAGCGACAGGAGAACCGCAGUAUAAGGCCAGAUUAGUGGCGAGAGGAUUCACGCAGCAGAGGGGGUGCAUUAUACGGAGAGUUAUGCGCCCACGUGUAGGAGUGAGUCUCUACGCUUGGUCUUGGCCAUCGCUGCACAAAGAGGUUUGCUGGUGCAUCACUUUGAUGUGGAUGUUGCUUACUUGAACUCAGACCUCCAGGAGGAUCUGUACAUGCUUCCUCCUCCUGGGUUUGAGGGCAAUGAGCGAGGUACUGUGUGGAAACUUCACAAGUCAAUUUACGGCCUGAAGCAGUCGGCCAGGAAUUGGAACUUGUGCCUGAAUGAAGCUUUGGAGAAGCUAGGUUUCAGGAAGAGUCUUGCUGACAGUUGCCUGUUCCUUAGAGGAUCAGGAGACUCACAGGAACUGGUGUUGUUUUACGUUGAUGACAUCAUCCAUGUUGGAAAGGCAGACAAACAGGUGCAGAAGUUUGCCAAAGAGCUUGGGAAACGGUUUCAGCUCAAGGACCUGGGUGCAGUAAAGAUCUACCUAGGCGUCCAGAUAGCGAGAACUGAGGAUGGUAGCUUCUUGCUCAGUCAGAAAGGCAAGAUUGAGCAGUUGCUGGAGAAGUUCAGAAUGUCCGAUUGUGCAGGAGUUCGGACACCCAUGGAGACGAACUUCGUGAAAAGAUAGCCAGCAAGCAGAAAGUGCUGAGUUUGAGAAUGCUGAGCUCUUUCAGUCAGCUCUAGGUAGUCUGUUGUAUCUGUCCCAAUGGAGCAGACCAGACAUUGCCUUUGCUACCAACCUGCUAAGUAGGGAAGCGUCAAAGCCCAGUGUGAGUGCUUGGCACGGUAUCAAGCGGGUACUGCGCUACCUGCAGCAUACCAAAGACUUCUGUCUUAAGCUGCCAGCUGAAGGUGAGGCGAAGCUCACAUGCUAUGCGGACAGUGACUGGGCGAACUCGCAGGACCGCAAGUCUGUGUCUGGGUUGGUGAUAAAGUUUGGGAAGUCACUGGUUGGGUGGAAGUCCCGGAAGCAAAGUCUCAUUGCGCUGUCUUCUACUGAGGCUGAAUUCAGUGCACUGUCAGACUUGUGCCGAGAACUAGAGUUCUAUAGAUGCUUGGUGCAAGAGAUCUAUGGGGAUUGUAGCUUGCCCAUCACGGUUUGGGAAGACAAUCAGCCUUGUUUGAAGUUGGCUGAAUCUGCGCAAUUUAAAGCGAGAACCAAGCAUCUGGACAUACGUUUCCAAAAUGUGUGUCAGAGUGUUCAGUCAGGUUUGAUACGACUGAAGUACUGUGCCAGUCACAGUAACCUGGCCGAUGGAUUUACCAAACCUUUAAGCUUCCAGCGUCAUGGGGAGUUUUGUGGUGGUUUGGAGUUGGGGGUAAGUUCUGUACUUACCGUCCCCACAGUAGCGCAGGGCGAGAGGGGGUGUGAGGAGAACCUGAGCUUACAGGGUUAAACAGCUCAGACUGUACGCCCUGCCUACAGUUGGGAGGGGGGAGCUACGUCAGUUCCGAGAGACUAAAGUCUUUGUUCUGUCUCUCUACUUUCGCUUUUGAGGAGAGAGGACGUGUUUUCGCGAUGCUGUUCGCUGUGAUAGAUAAUGGAUAGCCUGCU